ensembl:lncRNA
GUAUGUCUUGGCUGGAGGAGCCUAAGAGACUUUCUCUCUAAGCUUGUCUACGGAUGUUUCGGCCGAAGUUCCGAACUGAUGGGGAAUGGCCAGGCUGUGCUUCAGUGGUCCCUCAGAAGUCCACCAUUCCCAUUCUCAGCUCCAGCCCUCAGGAUGGGAUGAACACCUUCCAACUCUGGGCCUGGAGACCCUGGCAUAGUGCUCUUGGCUGGUGGCUUUCCCUUCCUGGCUGCCAUUUCCUCUCUGGGAAGUUGGGGGAGGCAGAAAUGAAUCACCUUAAAGGGCCUCGUUGGCAGCGGUGCCCUGCAAAGCCUGCGUCCUUCCUCAGCCUCAUGGUCUGAGGCCCUUGAAGCCACGAUCUGUCCAGUCUUCCCCUUCUCCUUGUUUGGGCAUUCCUGUUCCUUUAAGACAGUGCCCCUGUCACUCCUCCAGGUGGUGGCGGGGACAGGCCAGCCAGCACCGAAAGGCUUGAUAUUGGCCUAAGAAGGUGGGUGCUUGCCCAGGUGGGGGUGCCUGGUGAUGUGACCCCCAACACGCAUACCCCCUUGUCUGAGCCCCCCAAACUCCCCCAGGUCACCACAGGAUUCUGCUUCAGGGAGGGUUAUUGGACCCAUGAAAUGGGGGAGGCAGGGAGCACCGUGUCCUUAAGCCACCCGAGAGGCCACCCUCCCCCCAAGUGCAGGCAGAAGAAAGGAUGAGCUGGUGGGGGCGGCUAGAUCCUGCAGUGCCAUCCACCCCUGCUGGCCUACCCACCCCCAAAAGUGGGGCUCCCCUUUCCUUUGCCCCACUGUCUGCUUGGGAACUUGGGCGCCAGACAGGGAAGCAACCGUGAGAACCCUUGCAGCGGUCCAUGUGCCUCACUGUGCACUUAGGAAACUGAGCCCCAGACAGAAGGACUUGAGGCCAGGGCUGCUUCCACGAGGCUGCUGCUUCACCUCACUGACCUCGCACCGUUCUCUCACGGAACCUUCCUCGUCUCUGCCCCCGUUUCCUCCCCUGCCCACGCCCCACGCCACCCUCUGUCUGCUCCUCCCGCCGCUACCCUAGUAGUGACCAACAGACGCCCCUAUCCCAGAGCAGGGGUGGGGGUGGGGGGUUCGGAGCAGCUGCUUCUCUGAGGAAGCUGACACCGAGGCCAGCCGCUCAGCAACAGCUUGUGG